rnacentral:rRNA from 1 species
GUACACUCCUACGGGAGGCAGCAGUGGGGAAUAUUGGACAAUGGGCGCAAGCCUGAUCCAGCCAUGCCGCGUGAGUGAUGAAGGCCCUAGGGUUGUAAAGCUCUUUCAACGGUGAAGAUAAUGACGGUAACCGGAGAAGAAGCCCCGGCUAACUUCGUGCCAGCAGCCGCGGUAAUACGAAGGGGGCUAGCGUUGUUCGGAUUUACUGGGCGUAAAGCGCACGUAGGCGGACUAUUAAGUCAGGGGUGAAAUCCCGGGGCUCAACCCCGGAACUGCCUUUGAUACUGGUAGUCUUGAGUUCGAGAGAGGUGAGUGGAAUUCCGAGUGUAGAGGUGAAAUUCGUAGAUAUUCGGAGGAACACCAGUGGCGAAGGCGGCUCACUGGCUCGAUACUGACGCUGAGGUGCGAAAGCGUGGGGAGCAAACAGGAUUAGAUACCCCAGUAGUCCCAUG